CUCUCCUUAGCUCAGUUGGAAGAGCAUCAGACUGUAAUUGGCUUGUUAUCUGGGUGUCCUCGGUUCGAUCCCGAGAGGGGAGA